GCCCCCGAAUGCUGCCCCUGAACAGGCGCCUUCUAAGCGCUUGGCCGCAGGUUCGAGUCCUGCCGGGGGCGCCA
rnacentral:tRNA from 1 species